CUGCCCUGUUCUGUUUCUCUCUGACCACCGGUGCAUGCAGCCCCUGUCAUGUAACGCCUGCUUGCUCAAAUCAAUCACGAUCCUUUCAUGUGAAAUCUUUAGUGUUGUGAGCCCUUAAAAGGGACAGAAAUUGUGCAUUUGGGGAGCUCGGAUUUUAAGGCAGUAGCUUGCUGAUGCUCCCAGCUGAAUAAGUCCCUUCUUUCUACAACUCGGUGUCUUGAGUUUUGUCUGCGGCUCCUCCUGUUAUAUUUCUUGGCUCCCUGACUGGGAAGCAACGUGAUUGACAGACAGCUGAGGCAGCCCCUUAGGCAACUUAAGCCUGGCUUGUGGAGUGCCCCUGUGGGGGACUCCAGCCAGCCUGAGUGACAUGAUCCAAAGAGCCCUCCUGGGUAGGAAAUUGCCCCGGUGGAAUGCCUCACCAGAGAAGCAGGUAGCAGGCCCUCACAGAGGAUUAACACAGUGGCUGAACACCAGGAAGGAACUGGCACUUGGAGUCCAGACAUCUAAAAUUUGGUAUCGUGCCUUGGAUCCACCACAGUUAGCUGAAAUUAUCAGCCCAGGACCAGUGGACAAACCAGCAGGACAUAGACCAUCUGACUCGGAUGAUCCUGCAAUGAGACCACAUUGCCAGUGGAGAUGACAACAGCACUGCUCUGGUCACUCUGGAAGAUGACCAGUCUAUGCAUGGUGGAAGCUUGAGAAAAUAGCAAGCCCUGCUCUAGUCACACCAAGAACUGACUAGUCUAUGCACGGCCGAAGCUUGAAGAAUCGUCAUCAGAUGAAUAAAUGUGGCCAGAAAUCUUAGGCCCAGUAAUCUUCUUUGUAUUAUUCAUUAUAUCGCUCUUGUGCUAUUGUUUAACCAACCCCCUAAAUGCCUUUACUGUCCAUGCUGGCUGUAAGAAUGCUACUGUUUGCUUUGUUUGUGCUGAUCCCCAUAUCUAUGCUAGAAGGAGGACCCGUAUUAGGAUGCCAUCACUGCAUGCACACUACAUGGAUAAGAAACACAGUAAUUAAGACUUUAUUAUACCAUACAUACUAUAGGUACCUGGGCACAAGAUAGGUCAGGGGGUACUGUACCCCUAUUUACAUGCUUAAUCACAUCAUAAGGUUGCAGGUGGUACUUGAAAUCAUCACUAAUGAGACAGCAAAUAUGUUAGACUUGCUGGCCCAGCAAGCCACAGAAAUAAGGAUCACCAUCUAUUAGAAUAGACUGGCUUCAGACUGCCUCCUAGCCCAAAAAGAAGGAUUAUGUGGAAAGUUGAGCCUGAUGAAUUGCUGCCUAGAAAUUAAUGAUAACAGGAAAGCCAUCAUAGAAAUAGCUGCCAGGAUGUGGAAGAUAGCUCAUGUCCCAGUUCAGACCUGGAACCCAGAUGGUCUCCAGAUUCCCUCUUAGGAGGUUGGUUUUCAUCCUUUGGUGGUUUUAAAACAUUAGGGGUAGUGUUGGCUAUAUUAAAAGGUUGCUUAAUGUUCCCUUGCCUCUUAGGCCUCCUCAUCAGAAACAUCCAAUCAACCACAGAAUCCAUCGUUAACAGAACCACCUCCACUCCACUGAUGGCUCUAAACAAGUAUCAACCCAUACCAAACAGAGAAGAACUGACUUGUAAUGAGGAAUCAAAUGAUAGUGAUGCCUUCUAUUGAAUUCCAUUUACAGGAGGCAUCAAAGGGGAAGAUGAGAUGGGAAGGAAAGAAAGAAAGAAAGAAAGAAAGAAAGAAAGAAAGAAAGAAAGAAAGAAAGAAAGAGAAAGAAAGAAAGAAAGAAAGAUAAAAUUAAAAAGAGAAAUAAGCUUUCCUGUAUUAGGCUAACUUGUCCCAGACGCAGCAACGGGUACAGCCCAGACCCAGGGAAAGUCUUGAUACUACUAUCUAAAAAGCCAGGAGAUGCACCAAAAAAAUGUGGUCUGUAGACUCUCCCAAAACUCCUUCAACAUAGGGAGAAGAAAGACAAAUUUUCCUUUGUUUUAUGGUAUGAGUUUACAGAUUCUUGUUCUCUGUAAUUAGUAACUUCAAGUAUUCUGUUUUGUCUAAAAGGUACUGCGAAGGUCAUGAGACGCCUGAGAAGGCCUGAACUACAGCUGUCUGGGCACCUAGUGAAGGUUAUAAGGCAAACCAGUGCAAGGCUCUUUUGAGCAAAACCUAGAUAACAGACAUCUAGGUUGCAAAGCAACAGUCAUGUGUAAUCCCGAGUUAUGAACUGUCACAAUUUGAUUAAUUGUUCUCCCUCUGUAUCUCUGCUUUCAUGCCACUGUAAGCCUACAUCAAGUUAGCCCACCCCUUUUGGAAAGUGUGUAUGAAAGUCAAGUGCUGUCUUUGUUGGGGCCCAAUCUCUGGAUGUUAAGUCAGCUGAGUCUGAGUGCACUCAAUAAAGAUAUCCUCCUGUAUACACCCCAAGGUCUCUCUCUGGUACUCCUGAUUCCUGCAAAAAGAUGUCAAUUUAUAAACAAUAUACAUGACAGAUGAUAAAACAGCACAAAGAGUGUUGCUGAUUGGUAAUAUUUUGCCAUUAACAUUGUGAUUAGAAAAAAAUACAUAAUUAGGAGGUGCAAUAUGGCAUUUUGGUAUUAUGAUAGUGGUGGCAGGUAACAGAUAUCACCAAAUUCUGCCCUGCCAUUCAAUUCUAUUAUUUACAGGAUUCCUAAGUGCACUGUACACACUACAAAUGUUAUCAGAAAGGAGUUAUACUUUAUGAGUUACUUCACUAGCACAAUAAGUAGGUAUCGAAAAAAAUUGAAAUGUAUCAUGGAGUUUAGGCUUUCCAUGUAAUCUGGGGCUCUUUACUUACCCUAAUUUUGAAAUAGGUCUAUUCAGUGUAUUUUUCAGACGGCUAUUUAGAAAAAAGGAAGCCCAAACUCACCCACCCUGAGUCUAGGUACCCACUUAGCCAUGUAGAUUUAGAGAAAUAGAAAAACCAAACUGCCUUGGUGGACUGGAUUUGGCCAAUAUCUGAUAGGAAGAUGUAAUAUAAAGAAGGGGGAUCAAAUCCUGCCCUUAAGGUAGACAGAAUCUGUCAAGGCUUUAGAGUGUACCAUCAAAGAGUUAACAGCCAACAGAACAAAAUUUAGCGUCAUCACAAUUUUGGAAGUUUUUCAACAGCCCCAUGAUUUAUAAGCUGCCAAUCACUAUUUUUACAUAUAAAUCAUUUCCAGUGGUAGUAAAUGUGCUAAUAUUCUCGAUAUAUGUGAAAAAUAUCACUUAAAAUUUUUUCUUGGAAGAAGCACUUAAUAAUUUGUAAAUCAGAAACAAAUUAUAUGUACUUUCUAAGUAGAUUAGUGUAUUUCUCAUACAUAGAUGAUGGCAUAGAUUUGCUUUUUUAGUAAAUUGUCAGGUAUCAGACUCUAACUUAUGGAACAAAUGAAUAUAAGUAAACUCACUCCCAUUUGA
rnacentral:lncRNA from 1 species